UGCAGAUGAUGUGAAGAAUAUUUGCUAUCUUAAAGCAAUGAUGACAUUUCCACCAAGAUCACUGAUGCA